UACGAAGGGGGCGAGCGUUGUUCGGAUUUACUGGGCGUAAAGGGCGCGCAGGCGGCUUUGUUUGUCAGGCGUGAAAGCCCCGGGCUUAACCUGGGAACUGCGUUUGAUACGGCAGGGCUAGAGUUCGGGAGAGGAGAGUGGAAUUCCCAGUGUAGAGGUGAAAUUCGUAGAUAUUGGGAAGAACACCGGUGGCGAAGGCGGCGAGCUGGCCCGUUUCUGACGCUGAGGCGCGACAGCGUGGGGAGCAAACAGG
rnacentral:rRNA from 1 species